UGUGAGAGAGAGCAGCUAGCAGCAACAUUAUAGAAAAAUCUUGCUGGUUUUCCUUACAGGGUACAGAGAGAAAAUAAUGUAAGAUGACUGCCGAAUAAAAGGGUUCAAGUCGUCCUAGAACUAGAGGACCCCAAACAAAGGAAGACUAGGGGUGUGCCAAGCCCUCUCUAACGUCACGAAUCCUGCGGUGUACCCUGAAUCAUGUUGUGAGAGGGAAGGUGAUAAAAAGAAACUCAAGGAAGACAGGAACCAUAGGAAGCACCUGGGAGCAUUCUGCUGCAAACAAGAAGCCAGGGGGACCAGGACAGCUAUUUCCAAAUGUACAAGGGCCGUUUCUCAAGCUGCUACUUGCAACCAGAAUAUAUUCUGCUCUAGAAGAGACAAUCCGUCUGUAGGGACACCAGCUUUGUCGGCCUUCAACAGUUACGACCAAUAGGUGCCCGAGGACCUGCCCACCAAAUGGUGCAUCAGACACUGAUCUUCCGGAGUAGUCCUUAGAGAACUGCAGUAAAGAACGAACGCAGGGGCAUUGGAUCUGGGGUUGAUAAACACAUAACCAAACGUGCUGUCUCCUGAACAAAACAACACAAGUUCAAACAGGCAAACAAAAAAACCCUAAUGAACACACAAAGAAGAUUGAUGAUUGGCAACCAAGCCAAAAAAAUUUUAAAGGCUCAGGGGCAAGCAGUAAGCAGGCUUUUGCUAGGAAUCUCUAUCCUGGAACUGUUGUGACAUAUCUGUCUACUAAGCUAAGUGGCUUCAUGACUCAUAGCUCUGCUUCAUGGAGAGACUGGAAGGCUACCCAGCUUGAGACACCAUCUUCCGCUUUCUCCCAGGAAAGUUAAGUGUGAGCGUCCCACCUUCCCACUACAAGCCUAACACUCUGUUACAAAGCUGGCAGUAGCUAGGGAUGCUGUGGUACAUUCUGUGUGCUCUUGCACAGUGCAUACCAGAGGACCAGACCAACCUCAGGAAACAGAACUUGCCAAGGGGAUUGUUUUUAACCUUCAGAACCUGAGGAGGAAGAAACCCAUAAUUCUUUCUUCUCAUUACUGGAGAGGCCCACCACCAGAUACAGGUAUGUUACUGAUAGAAUGGGCUUACAUGAGAGGUGGGUUUGAGGCCAGCCUGGUCUACAAAGCAAGUUCCAGGACAGGCUUCAAAGCUACACACACACACACACACACACACACACACACACAUCUCUCAAAA
rnacentral:lncRNA from 1 species